rnacentral:rRNA from 1 species
AGAGUUUGAUCCUGGCUCAGAUUGAACGCUGGCGGCAUGCCUUACACAUGCAAGUCGAACGGUAACAGGUUAAGCUGACGAGUGGCGAACGGGUGAGUAAUAUAUCGGAACGUGCCCAGUCGUGGGGGAUAACUGCUCGAAAGAGCAGCUAAUACCGCAUACGACCUGAGGGUGAAAGCGGGGGAUCGCAAGACCUCGCGCGAUUGGAGCGGCCGAUAUCAGAUUAGGUAGUUGGUGGGGUAAAGGCCCACCAAGCCAACGAUCUGUAGCUGGUCUGAGAGGACGACCAGCCACACUGGGACUGAGACACGGCCCAGACUCCUACGGGAGGCAGCAGUGGGGAAUUUUGGACAAUGGGCGCAAGCCUGAUCCAGCCAUGCCGCGUGCGGGAAGAAGGCCUUCGGGUUGUAAACCGCUUUUGUCAGGGAAGAAAAGGUUCUGGUUAAUACCUGGGACUCAUGACGGUACCUGAAGAAUAAGCACCGGCUAACUACGUG